UUCUCUUUUGGGGCACAUAUACUAAAAUCGGAAUGAUACAGAGAAGGUUGCCAUGGCCCCUAUGCAAGGAUGACAUGCAAAUUUGUGAAUCAUUCUAUACUUUU
ensembl:snRNA U6 U6 spliceosomal RNA